AACGAACGCUGGCGGCAUGCCUAACACAUGCAAGUCGAACGAGACCUUCGGGUCUAUUGGCGCACGUGUGCGUAACACGUGGUAACCUACCCUUAAGUUCGGAAUACCUCCCCGAAAGGUGUGCUAAUACCACAUGAUGUCUUCGCACCAAAGAUUUCUCGCCUUUGGAUGGGCGCUGGUUGGAUUAGCUGGUUGGUAGUGUAAAAGCAUGCCAAGGCGACGAUGCAGAGCUGGUCUGUGAGGAUGAUCAGCCAGACUGGGACUGAGACACGGCCCAGACUCGUACGGGAGGGAGCAGUGGGGAAUAUUGGAGGAUGAGCGAAAGCCUGAUCAAGCAAUGCCGGGUGAGUGAGGAAGGCGGUAGGGUUGUAAAGCUCUUUUACCCGAGAUGAUAAUGACAGUACCGGGAGAAUAAGCACCGGCUAACUCCGUG
rnacentral:rRNA from 1 species